rnacentral:rRNA from 1 species
AAUGAACGCUGGCGGCAUGCCUUACACAUGCAAGUCGAACGGCAGCAUGACCUAGCUUGCUAGGUUGAUGGCGAGUGGCGAACGGGUGAGUAAUGCAUCGGAACGUGCCUUUUAGUGGGGGAUAACGUAGCGAAAGUUACGCUAAUACCGCAUAUUCUCUGAGGAGGAAAGCAGGGGACCUUCGGGCCGUGCGCUACAAGAGCGGCCGAUGUCGGAUUAGCUAGUUGGUGUGGUAAAGUCUCACCAAGGCAACGAUCCGUAGCGGGUCUGAGAGGAUGAUCCGCCACACUGGGACUGAGACACGGCCCAGACUCCUACGGGAGGCAGCAGUGGGGAAUUUUGGACAAUGGGCGCAAUCCUGAUCCAGCCAUGCCGCGUGAGUGAAGAAGGCCUUCGGGUUUUAAAGCUCUUUCGGCUGGGAAGAAAUCGCACCCUCUAAUACAGGGUGUGGAUGACGGUACCAGCAUAAGAAGCACCGGCUAACUACGUG